GGGGGAGGGCCCCCCGAGAUCAGCUUUCAGGGGCGGGUCUCAAACCAAUCCGAGCUGCUGCGGUAAAGAGCUGUGGUGGUGAGCGUCGGAUCAGAAGUUCGGAAUAUACCGAGCAGGU
rnacentral:ncRNA from 1 species